GCAUGCUCCAGCCCCAGCUAAAGGCAGCCUCGAGAAGAGCCAAGCCGACUCCUCGCGGUGUAGAAGAGCCCAGCUGCGCCUGGAAUCUUGGUGUCCUGGGGAACAUACAAGAAGCAAAUUUGGAAGAGCCUGGUUGCCAUCCCUACAUUUUUGUGACUAAAGCAGAAUGCCUUACGCUCUUUUCCUCGGCUUUCUUGACACCCAUGCCACCCUACCUUGGAGUCCUGAAGAUCCAACGAGUGCUUUAUAACGGUAGGCGUGAGCCAGCCUCACUCAUUAAGCUGGU
rnacentral:lncRNA from 1 species